AUUUAAAUACAUCUUAUGUUAAUGUUCAAU
rfam:Clostridium colicanis DSM 13634 CLCO_contig000003, whole genome shotgun sequence.